CCCAGCUGUGGGCAACUGCCUAGGUUGCCACGUACCUAGGCAAGUCUUAUACUGCUGAGAGAAAAGCAGCUAAGAGCUGGUGGGUAUCCAGAACCUGGUCAAUGCCAAAUCUGUGCUAACUAU
ensembl:snoRNA SNORA74 Small nucleolar RNA SNORA74